UUUCCCGGAAUUACCGAUUUUGAAAAUUCGGAAGACUUCCAUAAACAGCCAUGGUGACCCCGCCGAAUUCUCGCCGUCGGAUCUGCGCUCCUCGCUUGACGGCACGCCGCCUUCUCCCCGCCUCUGUAGCUUAUAUAUAAUCCCGCGUGCGUAAAUUGCGCUGCUGAUUACCGCGUUAAAUUCCGUUUUGUGAGUUCUUUCUCUCUCCCCUUCCCUUUUCACUCAAGCGCUAGCCUUUGGCUUGCACCGUUAGGGUUACGAUUGAUCAAGGUUUCUGAACGCGAUUGAUGUCUUUGCUGUGAACUGCGAUUUGGUAGAUUAGGACGGGCUAUUGCUGUAAAUGGGCUGCAUUCAAUCGAAGAAAGUUAGAAAGCAGCUCCCUGGGUAUGAGGAUCCGGUUCUUUUGGCUUCUCAAACUGCUUUUAGUGUCAGUGAAGUUGAGGCACUCUUUGAGUUGUUUAAGAGCAUUAGUGCCUCCGUGAUCGAUGAUGGUUUGAUAAACAAGGUGAGAUCAAAGAAGAAUGCAAAUUAGAAAGAAGGAGAAGAAGAUUAAAAAAGAAAUUCAUG